AUUUUCCCAUUAAGGAUGAUAUUACCCGUGGGUUUUUCAUAUUUGAUCAUUAUUAUGUUGAGUGUACAUCCUAGAAAAGAGCAGCUCUUUUAGCAAGAUUUCUGACAUGAAAAUAUAUGUGAAAGACCUAGCCUGGAUGGAACCUAGAGCAGUGACUUCCUAGAAAAAAACACAAAUGACAUAAGAUGAAAAUCUGGACUGAAGGAAGCCAAAUGCUCAAGAUACUUCUUUUGAAAAUCAUCAACAUAUUUUACUGAAAUCUGACAUUUUUACUGGUUUCAAGAUGUGCUGCACUUGCAAGCUGUCAUUUGUGACAGAACAACAGACUCUUCUCUGUUUUUUCUUGCAUUUGAAGAAAAUCAAUUUAAAGCUUAA